rnacentral:rRNA from 1 species
GAUGAACGCUGGCGGCGUGCCUAAUACAUGCAAGUCGAGCGAACAGACGAGGAGCUUGCUCCUCUGACGUUAGCGGCGGACGGGUGAGUAACACGUGGAUAACCUACCUAUAAGACUGGGAUAAUUUCGGGAAACCGGAGCUAAUACCGGAUAAUAUAUUGAACCGCAUGGUUCAAUAGUUAAAGACGGUUUUGCUGUCACUUAUAGAUGGAUCCGGGCCGCAUUAGAUAGUUGGUAAGGUAACGGCUUACCAAGGCGACGAUGCGUAGCUGACCUGAGAGGAGGAUCAGCCACCAGGGAACUGAGACAAGUCCCAGACGCCUGCGGGAGGCGGCAGGGGGGAAUCUUAGGCAAUGGGCGCAAGCCUGAUAGAGCAACACAGCGUGAGUGAUGAAGGUCUUCGGGUCGUAAAGCACUUUUAUUAGGAAAGAAAAAAAGUGUGUGAAGAUAUGCCUGUCCUGACGGUACCUAAAGAGUAAGAACCGGCUAAAUUCGUG